CAGGGCGGGUGGGGAGGCUGGAGGGCCCACGCCUGUUUUCCAGCCGCUCCCUCUGACCUCUGCCUGCCCCUCUGCU
rnacentral:precursor_RNA from 1 species